rnacentral:rRNA from 1 species
GAUGAACGCUGGCGGCGUGCUUAACACAUGCAAGUCGAACGGAAAGGCCAAAGCUUGCUUGGGUACUCGAUAGGCGAACGGGUGAGUAACACGUGGGUGAUCUGCCCCGCACUUCGUGAUAAGCCUGGGAAACUGGGUCUAAUACCGGAUAGGACAGUGGAUUGGAUGCCAUUGUGGAAAGAUUUUUCGGUGUGGGAUGAGCUGGCGGGCUAUCAGCUUGUUGGUGGGUUAAUGGCCUACCAAGGCGUCGACGGGUAGCCGGCCUGGGAGGGUGUACGGCGACAUUGGGACUGAGGGACGGCCCAGACUGCGACGUGAGGCAACAGUGGGGAAUAUUGCAGAAUGGGCGCAAGCCUGAUGAAGCGGUGCUGCGUGGGUGAUGACGGCCUUCGGGUGGAAAACUCCUUUCGCUAGGGACGAAGCGUUAUGUGACGGUACCUAAAGAGGAAGCACCGGCUAACUACGUG